AUUUCAUAAUACACUUAAUUAAGAUAUCUAAAAUUGAGAAUUAAGGAUCUAAAAUUAAAGCAAUUAAAUUUUAUGUGAUUCACUGAUAAAUGUAGUGGUCGCAUCAAAUCACUACAACCCUUGAUGUAGGGUGUAUCGUGAACUCAAAUUAAAAAUGAUUGCAAUUGCAAUUUGUAGUGGAGAAUCAAAGCCAACUCAAUCUCGAAUUAGUGGAUCAAUUUGGUGUCUAAGACAAGAACAUAGAUAGUGGUUAUUUAAUUAGAACCGUUGCCAC
rnacentral:lncRNA from 1 species